rnacentral:tRNA from 1 species
GGAGAGGUGUCUGAGCGGCCGAAGGUACGCGCUUGGAAAGCGCGUGUGUCGGAAACGGCACCGGGGGUUCGAAUCCCCCCCUCUCCGCCA